UACCAGCACCCCGAGUGGUCGGGACGUUUUAUUGGGCCUAAAGCAUCCGGUAGCCGGUUCUACAAGUCUUCCGUUAAAUCCAACUGCUUAACAGGUGGGCUGCGGAAGAUACUAUAGAGCUAGGAGGCGGGAGAGGCAAGCGGUACUCGAUGGGUAGGGGUAAAAUCCGUUGAUCCAUUGAAGACCACCAGUGGCGAAGGCGGCUUGCCAGAACGCGCUCGACGGUGAGGGAUGAAAGCUGGGGGGAGCAAACCGG
rnacentral:rRNA from 1 species